rfam:Cajanus cajan Scaffold132248_13, whole genome shotgun sequence.
ACCAAUGAUGUUACAAUCCAACUUGUCCCGGAUUGUAGUUUAGCCAAGUCCCUCUUCUGAGGGAGAACCUUCUUGGUGUUGCUACAUUUCCUAUGGCAGAAAAGAUUAAACUGAGGU